rnacentral:rRNA from 1 species
AGAUUGAACGCUGGCGGCAUGCUUUACACAUGCAAGUCGAGCGGCAGCGCGGGGGCAACCCUGGCGGCGAGCGGCGAACGGGUGAGUAAUGCAUCGGAACGUGUCCCGUGGUGGGGGAUAACCCGGCGAAAGCCGGGCUAAUACCGCAUAUGCUCUGAGGAGGAAAGGGGGGGAUCCGCAAGGACCUCACGCCAUGGGAGCGGCCGAUGUCCGAUUAGCUUGGUUGGUGGGGUAAUGGCUUACCGAAGGCGACGA